rnacentral:rRNA from 1 species
AUUGAACGCUGGCGGCAGGCCUAACACAUGCACGUCGCACGAGUGGCGGACGGGUGAGUAAUGUCUGGGAAACUGCCCGAUGGAGGGGGAUAACUACUGGACACGGUAGCUAAUACCGCAUACCAUCUGAUGUGCCCAGAUGGGAUUCACUAGUAGGUGGGGUAACGGCGAACCUAUGCGACGAGCCCUCGCUGGUCAGAGAGGAUGACCAGACACACUGGAUCUGAGACACGGUCCAGAGUGCUACGGGGGGCAGCAGUGGGGAAUAUUGCACAAUGGGCGCAAGCAGGAUGCAGCCAUUCCGCGGGUAUGAAGAAGUCCUUCGGGUUGUAAAGUACUUUCAGCGAGGAGGCGUUACUCGCAGAAGAAGUACCGGCUAACUCCGUGCCAGCAGCCGCGGUAAUAC